UAUUCAACCAACUAUGUUUACAAUCACGAGCUUUCAGUUGUUGACUAAAUUCGUUGAUCUUCGAGUGCGCUACAGGGUGAUUUUUCAAAGUGCGCCCACAGGUCCCUGUGCGGGGCCCGUGCGUUCCACAUCGCAUCGGACCAGUUAAGAAUCUAUCUACUUGAUCCGCUCUCGUUGCAAAACGGCUGUUCCACUCUCGUGCACUUAAGAUUUCGCAGGAAUCGAGUAACAGGGUAGGAUGUAGUACGCACUCUCCCUGUUAUCGACCAUAUCAAGAGGAGUGGUACACCAAAAGGAGAACGAACGAUGGCGAGCGACACCGAGUCCAACCGAGGGAGGAGAGUCGUGCUCUCUGUGUUGUUUCGUUGGAUCCUGAAUGGACAUAUCCCCGUCAAAAGUAACAACAAUUUCGUCGGACUUUUAAACAAUUCUCGCUAACUUGUCUCUUAAACGUACAUACAGGUCGUACCAAAAAUCAGGAAGCUACUCAGGAUCCCCUUAAAAACGUCCGCUGUUAAUUUUCAAAAACCGAAUAUCGUUGUUGUUCGUGUAAAUAAGAGUAUCUAGAAUUAAGUGGUUGUUACGAAUAUACGAGUGCGGAUUCACCCUUAGUCCUGCUCCUCGCGUUUAUAACAUGGUUUAUCGAUUAUUGCUCACGAUACACCACGGAGAUACAGGCGAUAUAAAUACACGGUAAAUAAUGACAGGAGAGUGGUACGUGAUGAUACGUUGAGACACGUCUUCGAGAGAUUCGAGGCUGUUAACGGUUUGUGAUUACUUCAGAGGGAAAUUGAUAAGUUUUAGUGCGUACGGGACUGUGUUUCGAAGAUUGCGGGUUUUAGCAUGUGAGUCGUGGAGAUGAUCUCGAUGGUAUGGGUACUCGCUUGGUAUUGCUUCGGGAGCCAUGCUGAAUUCUGGAUAAUGGAACGACGUAGCUUCGAGACGGCAGGCGUAAACAGUAGAUGAGCGAAUGGAAGGCGAAAGAGCGAGACAGUCGCUCUUCUUCAACAAAGAGUCACAUUAAAGAACCCCGGUCAGAGCAAGAAAUCAAACCAUGGGCUCGUUACCGAAUCUUCACGAAUUGUCGAAGGAGAAGCUGGGGAGUCCUGCUUACAGACCCGCGCCCAUCGGUGGUUUGGGACCCAUACGAUUGCCAGCCCAGCCUCCACCGUUAGCCCACACUCACAGACGAGCCAGGAGCAGUGGUCAUCAUCACACUCUGUGGGACAAUGAUACCAUGCUGGAGCACAUGGCAGCGUACUCUCCCAUCUCAUGUCGCUCAACAAGGACAUCCGCCUUAUCUUGGCGUCGAAGGGACUCCAUGAACUCAUCAGCAGGAGCAUCAUCCGUGCGUCGUCUGAUAGCAGCGGUUAGAGCAGCACCUUCCGGACCAAGGCCGCCGAAAAAGGCCAUCUUGAGGCACUGUGCAGCCCUGCUAUUAGGGCACGCGAGCUGCUCGGCCGCCACUCUGCCCAUAUUCCCGUUGCAGGCUGGUCUGGGCACCUUCAACCCUCAACUGGGACCCAUGUUGCUGGCUCUUCUCUAUGCAACUGCAACCAUCACCAGCUGCUUCGCGCCGAUCCUCGUUCAGCGAUUUGGCACGAAUCUUGCGAUAAGCAGCAGCCACGUGGCCACCACUAUUUUCGUCGGCGUGCAUCUGUAUCCGAAAUGGUACAUAUUGCUACCAAGUUACGCCAUGCUAGGUGCUUGUGUGAGUCCAAGCUUCAUAGCCCGAGUGUCUCACGUGAACGCUUCAGCAACCAGUUUAGCCCUGGUCUGCGUCGACCCUGAGGAUCCCGACGAGACAAGACGCGAGUGCCUUUUGAGAAGACUUAAUCGUGGGAUUAAAUUAGCGGAAGACAUGGGUCUAGCACUGGGUUGUCUGAUCGCUGCCAUACUCGUGAAACUAACGAAUUCCGUUUCUAUUAGUACAAUAAACGGCGAAGUGUACGACAAAUGCGGAGCAGAAUACUGUCCUGAAGAGAUUUAUCUUUACAAUGGCACAACUAAUUUACCUACGUUGUCGUCGGGCACGUCAAAGAUGUUAGUUAGCAUAUGGCUCGGUCUCGCUGUCCUAGGUUUAAGUAUAUCCUGUGCUUUCCUCGAUUCUAGAAUGAAGGAACCACAGACUGUUAAUGAAAAGCAUAGCACGAAAAGUAUUCUCGCGUCUAUUAAAGCUGCGUUUCAAGAUCCUAAGUUGCAACUGGCCGCGCCGUUGACACUUUUCAUCGGACUUGAACAGGGUUUCAUCUACGCGGAUUUUAUAGAAGCAUACGUAGUCUGUGCACUGGGAGGAGCAGGUACAGUGACGCUAAGUUUUUUGAGUUUGGCAUCCCUGCAAGCCCUUGCCGGUGCAACUUUGUCGAUGCUUUUGAGACACAUUAAAAGUUGUAGGAUUUGUAUUUCACGCGUGUUUAUUACUGGUCUUGAUCACUUGGAGACCGUCUGGUGACGAUCCAGCACUUUUUCACGUUAUAUCUGCUGCCUGGGGUGUUUGCAACUCUAUUUGGGAAACUUUGAUAUACACAUUAGUAUUGGGACUAUAUCCAAACUCUUGGCAAGGACCACUAUCGACCUCCCUAUUCUGGAGAUGGCUAGGACUUGCCCUGAC
rnacentral:misc_RNA from 1 species